UGAAAAAGUCAAUCAGUUUAAUUCCAGUUCUUGGAAAAGUGCUGGAAAGAGUCAUGGUGGAACGGCUUCAGGAGCUAACGCUAGGUAUGUGGUCGGAGAGGCAGUAUGGGACGCAGUAUAAAGUAUACAUGAUUUUAUAUUUAGAGUUUCGUAAGAGAAUGUCAACAAAUAUGUCCUUGGAAUUUUUGCUGAUUUCAAGGGGGCGUUUGAUUACCUAAUCUGGGAUCGAGUGGUGCAACGGCUGGAGGAGCUUGGCUAUCCGAAAAUCACUUUUUGGCGGAAUUACUUUUUGGACAGAAAUGCCUCACUAGUCGGCAUGAAUGAGAGUAGAUGUGUUUCACUCCACACUUGGCGAAUGUGAAGGAGCUACUGCAGGCAACUGAUGACGCGUGCUUUCUAAAGAAAUGGUAGUUUCAAAAGUUUUAAAUUAGGAGGUACGAAUCAUAUUUUUUCCGCUCUCCUGAAGAGGGAUUAUGUCCGUUUAGGUAUAAGUUAAGUAGAUGGCAGGAGAUCAUAAUUAUCUUCCAAAUUGAAAUCGUUAAAGGAAAACAACUUCUUACCAAAAUCUUAUGGACCGAUCAGUUUAACAACUCUUAACUCUUACGGUAAUCAUUGACGUAGAAAGUAGAAUCAACAACGCUACUGCGGUUACACCGAUUUCAACCAUCUCUUCUUUUGAUCAGAAUCUGCUGGCCUGCGAAAGGUAAGAUGAUUAAAAAAGRAAAGGAAAAACGUUUAUCCGUUUGCCACGAAGAGACUGAUACAACAUGAGAUGCUGCCAGGCGUGGCAGACCCGGAGUAGCCUUUCUGCAGAAAAUAUUGUUGCAGUUGCCGAGAAUGUCAUGGAAGCGCCGUCGGCAUCGACCAGACGACGUGCCACGCAAAUGGGUAUCAGUCGACGGUGUUUACAGCGAAUUUUGGAACAAGAUUUGAAGAUCAGAUGUUAGCUGCUGACCGCGAAUCGCUUCUAACAUACGCUCAAGCCAUCUUUAAUCCCCACCAAGAGAAGACGAUUUUUCAUUAAAAAUAAGCAUGAGUGAUGAAGUCCAUUUCCAUCUUAGCGGGUACGUAAAUAAGCAAAAUKUACGCUUCUGGAGUACUGAAAAUCCACAUGUAAUCAACGAAGAGCCAUUACACUCGCUCAAAGUCACUGUAUGGUGUGCUGUUUCCGCUGGAGAAGUCAUUGGACCUUUUUUCUUCGAAGACUUCGGGUGCCAAACGGUUACUGUGAGUGGUGAGCUCUACAGAGCAAUGAUCAAAGAAUUCUUUUUGUCGCAACUUGAUGAAUUGAGAUUGGAAAACAUGUGGUUUCCACAGGACGGUGCAACGGCACACACUGCACGUGCCACAACCGAUAUGCUGAAGGAUGCGUUUCCCGUUUUGCCGAUUUGCACUGGUCAGCAAGAUCGCCUGAUUUGACGGCUCCAGACUUCUUUUUGUGGCUCUUUUUGAAGUCUCGGGUUUAUGUCAAGAAGCCUCAGACACUUGUAGCUCCUAAAGACAAUAUCCGUCAAUAAUGUGACGUGUUAAUGUCAUAAAAAGGGCUCAAAUGACAAUCAAUUGUGACGGCGGGCAUUUAUAUGAUAUCAUAUUCUCGAUUUGAUGUAAA